rnacentral:rRNA from 1 species
UUGACCUCGGAUCAGGUAGGAAUACCCGCUGAACUUAAGCAUAUCAAUAAGCGGAGGAAAAGAAACCAACA